rnacentral:rRNA from 1 species
GAUGAACGCUGGCGGCGUGCCUAAUACAUGCAAGUCGAGCGAACGGACGAGAAGCUUGCUUCUCUGAUGUUAGCGGCGGACGGGUGAGUAACACGUGGAUAACCUACCUAUAAGACUGGGAUAACUUCGGGAAACCGGAGCUAAUACCGGAUAAUAUUUUGAACCGCAUGGUUCAAAAGUAAAAGACGGUCUUGCUGUCACUUGUAGAUGGAUCCGCGCUGCAUUAGCUAGUUGGUAAGGUAACGGCUUACCAAGGCAACGAUGCAUAGCCGACCUGAGAGGGUGAACGGCAACAGUGGGAAUGAGAAACGGACCAGACUGCUAAGGGAGGCAGAAGUGGGGAAUAUUGAACAAUGGGCGGGAGCCGGAUGCAGAAACGCCGAGUGCGGGAUGACGGCCUUAGGGUUGUAAACCGAUUUAGCCGGUGACGAAGCGUGAGUGAAGGUAAUGGGUAAAGAAGCACAGGAUAACUACGUG